rnacentral:rRNA from 1 species
AUACGUAGGUGACAAGCGUUAUCCGGAUUUACUGGGCGUAAAGGGCGUGUAGGCGGUCUUGCAAGUCAGAAGUGAAAUUCCUGAGCUCAACUCGGGCGCUGCUUCUGAAACUGCAGGACUUGAGUGCUGGAGGGGAUAGCGGAAUUCCUAGUGGAGCGGUAAAAUGCGCAGAUAUUAGGAAGAACACCGGUGGCGAAGGCGGAUGUCUUGACAGUAACUGACGGAGAGGCGCGAAAGCGGGGGGAGCAAACAGGAUUAUAUCCCCUGGUAGUCCACGCUGUAAACGAUGAAUACUAGGUGUAGGGGGUAUCGACUCCCUCUGUGCCGCAGUUAACACAAUAAGUAUUCCGCCUGGGGAGUACGGCCGCAAGGUUGAAACUCGAAGGAAUUGACGGGG